ensembl:lncRNA
AUGAAUAAUUUGAGCAAAUAUGUAAUUCAGUGGAUUAUAAGUAAAAACAUUCAAGUAUAAUAUGACAUUAAAUACAUGAAAUCAGGGAAAGAAUACCAUUGAGCAAACUUAUGUCUUGAUUUGAAUAUGUAAAUGAUAAUAUGAUUUAGUCGGGAUGUAAGUUAUUUUGAGCUGAAGACAAACUCAACUUCUGAAAGUUAAAAUGUUUUUAAGCUUCUACAGCACCUGAUUUAUGACUUAAGACUUCCUGCAGCAUCCAACCCUGAAACAAUCCAACUGCCCAUGACUUUUAAGGUGGAGUAAUGACAUGAGAGUAGAUCCCAUACAGGAAGUAAGGGUCAUAGGAUAAGCAAUAGAACUUAUGACGAUAUCUUCACUGACCAGGGGUCUUCCAAUUGCUAGGAGAAUUUACAUUUGAUACACAAAUUGGCUGCUUCAUUACCAAGUCUUGUCCAAAGCAAAGGUCAUAUCCUCCAAGUGAGCUGGAAAUUGUGGUUCGUUAGAAAUAACGUCGAGGAGAAAACCUGGAAAUUAGCAAUCUUGGACUUGCGUCUUCUUCUCUUUCCCUACCCGAGGUGUCACCGCUGGUAAGAAAAUGCUUCUCCGUGUGCUUCCUCGCUCUCAGAAUCUAACCCACAACUCCAGCGAGCCUUUGGGGGAAACGGGGGGACAUGAUGGCGGGUAUCAUGGUGUGGGCUUCUCUCAGCGCUCUCCUCUCUCUGGUCGGGUGUCCCGCGUGUGUCCUCGUCCUCCGUCCUCUGUACAGAAGACUCAAAGCAGGAACCCCGUUCUCCCCCAACGACUUCUUCAUGCUCAACCUCACCGUCAUGGACUUGGUCUUCUUGCUUUUCGUCCCGUUUGGGCUGUGCAACUUCCUCCUGUGGCACGCGAGGGCCGUUCAGUUGUUGAGCAACUUCCUGUACGCCUUGAACCUGGCCGGGCGACCCCUGCUCACGGCCUGCAUCUGUCUGGACUGCUUCCUGGCCGUGGUCCAUCCCGUCACCUACCACACCAGGAAGAGUCUGACCCCGCGGUUCCUCAUGGCCGCCGUCGUGUGGGCUGUCACGGCGGCCCAGGGAGUGGCGGCCGUGGCGGCGGAGGAGCUGAUCCACAGCGCCUGGGCCAUGGUCGUUUACGUGGUGGCGCUGCCAGUCAUCGUCACGUGCGACGUCUCCAUCCUCAGGACUCUGAAGAGGCCCGUCUGUGCGGGCGGAGGCCUCCACCCCGCGAAGAAGAAGGCCCUCCAGAUCAUCACCAACAGCGUGGUCAUGACCGUCAUCUCGUACGUCCCCCCGCCCCUGGCGUACGUCUCGGGCAAUCUGACCAUCAGUGACGACAAAGUGUACGAAUGUUUUUUGGCGAUACCUAUCCUGGUAACCCCGACUGCAGGGAGUGCGAUCAUGCCUCUGCUCUACUUGGGGAAUCUGGGGGGCGUGAAGCCCCCCUGCUGUCGGGCGUGACGGGUCACAGGAGGGUUUUGGUCCUGAUGUGUUUCGCUGGUAGAACAGCAACAUCUGUUUCCAGGAAAGCUCGCAGGUUGUGGCUUAUUUUUUUGGGAUGUACGGUAGAUGGAAGAAAUGCCCUAAUGGUUCAAACUGCUGUGUUCUGAGUUUUAUUGCACGAAUAAUCAAAAACAGCUACUUGGUAGAGGAUAAAAAUAUUUUGGUGCGAAAACUGUUAUUUGCAAGAGCUUGAUUGCACCAAAAAAUGUAUACGAGAGCUAAAAGUCAAUAAUCAUAUGUUAUAUGGACAUUAUAUUAUCCAUUUUGUUGACUUUGGGCUUGAUUAAGUCAUAUGAAUCAUAUUAUCUUUGUACAUAUGUGUGAAUCAAUAAAAGUUUGUUCUUAUCUCCCUUGUAUCAUGAUCAAAAAAUAUUAUAGUAACAGAAAGGGACUUGUGAGAUAAAAUUGCAACGAAUUCAUAGAUGCAAUUCAAAAUAUAAAUAAAUUAUAACAAUGAGAAAUUAAAUGAGAGGAAAGUACAAAAUACAACUUCAUUUUCCCUGUUUUGAUGUCUUGAUGAAUUCUGUUAGCCAUAUACAACCUUAUAUUGAUAAAAUACUUCAGAACAUUAUGUAAUUUGUUUUGUUAGAACUCGCACAGCUGCAUGAGUGAUACUGCACGAAAGAUAAACCUUCCCGCCAUCAUCAUUUACAUUUGUAAUAUGAUCAUUAUGAACCAAAUGAAAGAAACCAAAUGUAAAUAUAUCGUGGAAAAAACAAGUCUGUGACUUAAUCCAGCUCACAUUUUUCCUCACUUUCUUCUUUAUUAAUUUUUUCAGUACUUUUAUGAGACUAGUGACUCCGUCUGAGGUGUUAAAGACCAUCAUCAAUAUUCGCACGUACACAAGUAGAAAGUCGACUAGAUUGCAAUGGCAAUAGUUCAUUUUGUUCUUUGUGUGUUUAGGGGUUCUACUCAUUUCAUUUACUAUCCAUCGUUGAUGGCUCAGUACGAUUACUGUUAAUGCCGAAAGGUUUUAGGUUUCUUUCUAUCCAGAUGGAAGCUGAAAAUGACACCAGUCAUCCCAUCAACGGCCUGUGCUGCUAACUGGUUGCCCAGUGCAGUGGACCCUUGUUACCGGAUAAAAGUUACCCACUACUCCUCUUUUAGUGAGUUAGCUCAGUGAAAAGAGACUAAACUUCCCUGUGUAAUGCGCUGUUCAUUUGAAUUGAUUUGCAUUACAUUCAAUAAUCAAAGCAAACAGAGUUGAAUGGCUUUAUUAUCGGGUUCAUAUUGAAAGACAUUCAACUGUUAAUCACAAUAUCAACAUUCAUUUGAAUAUACAGGUUCCAUACGUGCAUUGUUUCAAGAGUACAGAUUUUACUAUAGAGACUUUUUAAGUAAUAGGAUUGUUAUAGGUUUUCUUAUUUAGGAAAAUAAAUAUUUUGAGCAAAUAUGUAUUUCAGUGGAUUAUAAGCAACAAAAUUCAAGCACAAUAUGACAUUAUAUAAAUGUAAUCAGGGAAAGAAUCCCAUUGAACAAACAUAUGUCUUGAUUUGAAUUUGUAAAUGAUAAUAUGAUUUAGUCGGGAUGUAAGUUAUUUCAGAGCUGACUGAAACUCAACUUCUGAAAGUUAAAAUGUUUUAAAGCUUCUACGGCACCUGAUUUAUGACUUAAGACUUCCUGCAGCAUCCAACCCUGAAACAAUCCAACUGCCCAUGAUUUUUAAGGUGGAGCAAUGACAGGAGAGUAGAUCCCAUACAGGAAGUAAGUGUCAUAGAAAAACCGAAAGAACAUAUGAAGACAUCUUGACUGACCAGGGGUCUUCCAAUUGCUAUUAGAAGCACUGGGGGAAGGUAAGACAGGACUGAUAUCACCAGGCUGUUGAUGAGGGUGUGAAUGGCUUUUUGCUUCUGAGGGUGGAUGUUUCUUCUGAGGUCAGAUUUAAUGAGUGAAUGGAGGAUGAGAGAAUCACAGAUCGAGAUUAUCACCAUUGCUACUAUCAAUGGGAGAGUGGAAAAGAUGGUGUAGUAUAACAGAUGAAAAAAAUAGUAUGCAAUUCCAGAGGCAAUUGUCAAAAUCCAAACAAUGCCAGCCAUCAUCACCCUGGGAGUCAGACUUUUCCUCUUGUGGUAGGUUAUUGGAUGAACCACAGCCAGGUAACAGUCCAGACAGAUACAAGCCAUCAUGAGGGGUCUCCCACAUGUGUUCAAGGCAUAGACACCGUUCCACAAUGCCUCUAAAGGCCAAUACAUCCAGAUGACAUGAUUCAAUAUUCCAAGAGGGAUGAAGAACAAGUAGACACCGUCCAUGGUGGAGAUGUUCAGCACGAAAAUAUCAAUUGGUGUGAAGGGACUUCCUCCCCAGUGAGCCUUAAACAUCUGCCACAGGAUGGCAAUAGAUGCAGGAAAUCCCAAAACAAAGAACAGCGUCAUAAAAAAAAGCCAAACGUAUUGGCCCUCUUCAUACGCUUCACAACCAUGAAGAUCAAAUGCAGGUGUGGGAGAGUUGUUGGAGAGAUGCUGGGAUCGAAGAUGCCACCCAGUCAACAUUUUUGAGCAGAGUGGUAGUUUCAAAACCUGAAAGAUACAAAUAUAGUAUUUCAAGCAUGCAAGAGGAAGUUACUAAUAAACACAUACCUUAAUAAUAAACACAUACCUACUCUUCCUUUUUCGUGAGGAUUUGUAGGGGAGGUUUUUACUGAUGUGCAGCUGCGUCUUGUUGCCUCGACUAAAGUUUGAAACACCUGUGGGAGCGGUUUUAAGUGUUCGUACAUCAUUCCACGUCAUGAACCGACGUCGGUGGCCGGUUUGCAAACCAUAAAGUUAUGGAAAAGAGCAAACCCACAGAGCAUCGGAGAUCAUAAAGGUAGAUGGUCAUGGACAAAAACUGACGUUUUGUGUGUUCACACUGCAUUCUAAGUUGGAUCAUCAAAGUACUUACAAUUCAUCUGUUGUCUUCCAUCCAAUAGUCUAGUCCCCUUGGAUAUCUGCAUUACAGCACAGUAAUUGUUGUAACAUUUUACUUGAGGCCCAAAUGUACACUGGUUAAUGGCACUGGAGUCAAAAACACAGCCGCCAAAUGAUGGAGAGUUGACAGCACAGAAAAGUUCACAAGGACAGCAGGAAGAGUCGCUACUUCCAACAUGUUCCACGCAGUGGGAUUCUGCCUCAAAGAUGAUCAAAUGUGUGUAGUGUUAUGUUUAAAAUGAUAUUAACAAUUAAACAACAGGGUCUAAAAUACACGCUUUCUAAAGUGAUUCGUCAUUUUUACAUUUAGUCUUUAGAAGAAAAACAAACAAAUUUCAUUGUUUUCCAUACAAUAGUCUAGUCCCUUUUGGAUCCAUCCAGUAGUUUUCAUUACAUUUCACUAGUUCACUAGUUAAUGGCGAUGGAGUCUAAGGCAGGGUUUCAUAAAAUGUCGGAGGAAUUUAUCCUCUGCGGACCAGGAAUGUUUGAAGAAAAUGUCACAGCUGUCCAUUAGUGUGACGACCCUCACCGCCUCUGGCUGGUGCACCUGCAGGUGGGUGUGGCUGAGGGUCGUCAGGGGAUUGGGAUCACCUGAAGUAAUCAGCAGCACUGGCAACACAUGGGUUUCGUGUGCCAGUGCACUCUGAUAAAAGGCCCUCUGGUCUCAGGUGCACUCUCUCUCUCUCUCUCUCUCUGCCUUGAGACACCUAGUUUUACUAUUUGCUAGUGAUAGUUGUAGUAUCGUUUGUGCUUAAACAACACACACCUUCUAUAUAUGAACAAACCUCCAUCACUGAAACUACUGACGUGAAACUGUAGCAGUGUUCGGUAAGAACAUUCCGACUAUUUGCUUGGUUUGUAUUUUUGUCAUGGCCGUGCGGCCCGCAUCAUGACAAGUGGGGGCUCGUGUGUCCAAAUUUGACUGGUUUAAGGCUGUUAGUUGUCACAAAGAAACUGUGGUUUUGUCUGACACGCAAGCUUACAUGGAUAGGUCAAAUACAGUAC